rnacentral:tRNA from 1 species
UGGGGUGUAGCUCAGUGGUACAGCACUUGCCUAGCAUGUGUGAGGCACUGGGUUCGAUCCUCAGCACCACAU